rnacentral:rRNA from 1 species
UACAGAGGGUGCGAGCGUUAAUCGGAAUUACUGGGCGUAAAGCGUGCGUAGGUGGUGAGUUAAGUCUGAUGUGAAAUCCCCGGGCUCAACCUGGGAAUGGCAUUGGAUACUGGCUCGCUAGAGUGCGGUAGAGGGUGGUGGAAUUCCCGGUGUAGCAGUGAAAUGCGUAGAGAUCGGGAGGAACAUCUGUGGCGAAGGCGGCCACCUGGACCAACACUGACACUGAGGCACGAAAGCGUGGGGAGCAAACAGG